rnacentral:rRNA from 1 species
UACGUAGGGCGCAAGCGUUAUCCGGAAUUAUUGGGCGCAAAGAGCUCGUAGGCGGUUUGUCGCGUCUGCCGUGAAAGUCCGGGGCUCAACUCCGGAUCUGCGGUGGGUACGGGCAGACUAGAGUGAUGUAGGGGAGACUGGAAUUCCUGGUGUAGCGGUGAAAUGCGCAGAUAUCAGGAGGAACACCGAUGGCGAAGGCAGGUCUCUGGGCAUUAACUGACGCUGAGGAGCGAAAGCGUGGGGAGCGAACAGG